rnacentral:rRNA from 1 species
AUUGAACGCUGGCGGCAUGCUUUACACAUGCAAGUCGAACGGUAACAGGCCGCAAGGUGCUGACGAGUGGCGAACGGGUGAGUAAUGCAUCGGAACGUGCCCAGUCGUGGGGGAUAACUACUCGAAAGAGUAGCUAAUACCGCAUACGAUCUAUGGAUGAAAGCGGGGGACCGUAAGGCCUCGCGCGAUUGGAGCGGCCGAUGUCAGAUUAGGUAGUUGGUGGGGUAAAGGCUCACCAAGCCAACGAUCUGUAGCUGGUCUGAGAGGACGACCAGCCACACUGGGACUGAGACACGGCCCAGACUCCUACGGGAGGCAGCAGUGGGGAAUUUUGGACAAUGGGCGCAAGCCUGAUCCAGCAAUGCCGCGUGCAGGAAGAAGGCCUUCGGGUUGUAAACUGCUUUUGUCCGGAACGAAACGGCUCUGGUUAAUACCCGGGGCUAAUGACGGUACCGUAAGAAUAAGCACCGGCUAACUACGUG